GGGCUGGCUGCUCAGCGGGGAGUCUGCUCCUCCCUCUCCCUCUGCCCCUUCCACCCCUGCUGGUGCUCUCUCUUUUGUUCUGUCUCUCUUAAAUAAAUAAAAUAAAAUAAACAUAAAAAAAUGAUCCUUCUUUCCAAAAUGUAAUAAUGCCUUGAGAUCUCAUACAUGGUUGUCCCUCUGUGUUAGAAAAUGUUUGCCUCCAGAAAGCCAGUGUUAAAAGGCAGGUGGGUUUGCUAGAACUCCAGAAACCCCUGGACACUUGAACCAAAAAAGUGAGAGUGAGGUCAUCAUUUCACCAACUGUAUUUCUCUGACCCUGGAAACUACCAGUGAACUUGUCAAAACUCCAGCUCCUUUCAGAGUGUCACCCAGCUGCUUGGAAUCUUCAAGGGUGACUUAUGUUUGCACAGGAAUAACCAUCUCUAUCUUCACUGGUCAUUGUGGAUGCUGUAGGCAAAUCCAUUGCCUGAGGAUCUCUCUUUACAGGACUGGACAGGGGCCCUGAAAUGCUGUCCUUAUGCACCUGGGGUCAGAAGACAACAAGGCUGUUCACCUGCUGGCUGUGACAUAAGUCUACGCCUUUGGUCUACCUUCUCUGAUGAGGAUAGUCCUGUUCCAUUUUCUUGGAAAAGUUGGGUGCUUGAACUACUGCUCUGUUAGGUAAGGCCACAUGACUGAGUUAUAGCAAUGGAAUGUGGAUGGAAUUAAUGUGGAUAAUUACCAGGACUGGUCCAGAAAACCUUCCCAUGCUGGAGCCUGAUCUUUCCUCCUUCCUGCUGACUGGAUGUUGUGUCCUCAAAAGCCCUGGGGAACAAGCUGUCGAAGAUGACAGAGACUUUCAGCUCAGACCCUAAACAUCUACUUGAACCAGACCUCACUUCCAGCUGGAUUUCAUAUACACAAGAAAUGAGCUUCUGUUUCAUUGGCUCCAUUUUCUCAACUGUUCCCAGAAAAACACUAUCAACUGUAGAGAGAGAACAGUUUGUACUACUGGAAUGCUUGGGGGCUUCCUGAUGCUGCUUGGACUUGCAUUUGAAGUCAUUAUUUGUCUGAGAGUUCAUGCUGGGACUCUGGGAAGACCCCCAUGAACAGAGAGCUCCCGACCUUCUGUUGCCAUUCCAGUCUCCCUGCCCUUAUUCUGAGGCAAAUGACUAUUAGUGGGGAAUAGUCACUAGUGUGCUGAGUUAUCUGGCCCUAAGGAGGCCAAGGGGCAACUGAAUGGGUGGGUUGAGUCUUUCCUGCCUUUGACCCUGGACAUGGAGGCUUUGGCCUCAGCAGAGACUGAGCACCUUUCUUUUUGUGACCUGGACCACACAGGUGAGAGUGCAGCUGCCAUCAGGGCACAUGAAACCAGGAGCCAACAAUGAAAAACAAUAUCUCUUCUCAGGGACUUGCUUUAGAGAGAGGAAGACACAGCAAAACAAACAGCUGUUGCAAGGCAACUUGAAUUUUUAAAAAACUUGCAUAUUGAAGGAGAUUUAAAUAUAGCACAAAAAGACUUUCUGAAGCUAAAAAUCAUAAAUUCCUAGCCAAAUACAAUUCAAGAGAUUAAUUAAGGGAGAGGAAGAUCACCAGGCGAUCUGAAUUAGCAUCCUAGGAAAAUUGAAGGCAAGAAAUAUCUUGACAUAGAGCAAAGAUAAGAAGAGAUAGAACACAAGUAGGAAAGGAUAAGAAGCUUGGAAGAUAGAUCCUAAAACUGUGGACUGUGAGUAGUGGGAGCAGAAAGAGGGAAAGGAGCAACAGAGGAGGGACAACUAUUAUACUAACGAUAACAGAAGACUUCUCUGAACUGAAGCAAACUUGGGCCUGUUUCUUUCUUUCUUUUUAAAAAUUUUAAUAGAUUUUAUUUUUUAGAAUAGUUUUAGGUUUACAGCAAAAUUGAACAGAUGGCACAGAGAGUUCCCAGAGACUCACUCCUUACCACCCCAGAACUUCCCUGACCAUCAACAUGCCCCAUUAAGUGUUCGAACCUACACUGAUCUUAUCAUCAACCAAAGUCCAUAGUUCACAUUGGGCUUCACUUGUGGUGUGCAUUCCGUGAGUUUGGACAAAUGCACAAUGACUCAUAUCCAUCAUUACAGUAUCAUAUAGAGUAGCUUCAUUGCCCUACAAAUCCCCUGUAUUCCAUCUUUUCAUCCUCUACCAACUCCUGGUACUUUUUACUGCCUCCAUAGUUUUGCCUUUUCCAAAAUAUCAUAUAGUUGGAAUUAAAUAGUCUGUAGCUUUUUCAGAUUGUUUUUUUUUUUUUUCACUUAGUAACAUGCAUUUAAGGUUCUUCUAUGUUUUUUCAUGGCUCAGUGUCUCCUGUAUUUUAAUUCCUGAAUAAUAUUCCAUUGCCUGGACAUACCACGUUUGUAUAUCUCUUCACCUACCUGAGCAACAUCUUAGUUGUUUCCAAGUUUUGACAAUUAUGAACAAAGUUACAUAGAUAUCUGAACGUGGGUUUUUUAAAUGAGGAGAUAAGUUUUCAGUUCACUGGGGUAAAUAUUAAGGAGUGCAAUUGCUAGAUUGUAUGUAUGAUAAGAGUAUGCUUAGUUUUGGAAGAAAUUGCCAAAGAGUCUUCCAAAGUGGUUGCACUGUGUUGCAUGCCCACCAGCAGUGAAUGAGAGCUUGUGUUGCUCCAUAUCCUCGCCAGCAUUUAUUAUUGUCAGUGUUCCAGAUUUUGCCCAUUCUAGUAGGUAUGUAGUGGUAUCUCAUCAUUGUUUUAAGUUGUAUCUCUCUAAUGACAUUCAAUGUGGAGCAUUUUUUCAUAUGCAUGUUUGCCACUUUUUAAAAAAAGAUUUAUUUACUUAUUCAUGAGAGACACAGAGAGAGAGAGAGAGAGAGAGAGAGAAAGGCAGAGACAUAGGCAGAGGCAGA